UAUAGGGGGAGGAACUUCAGUCACAGUCUGUUCUGAAUAAAUUUGUGUGUAAAUUUACUGGGUGAAUCAUAGAAUCAUCUCAUCCAGCCAUUAACCCAUCUCCAUCGUGCCCACUAAACCAUGGCCCUCCGUGCCACAUUUCCUAGUUCCUUGCAUGCUUCUGGUGACAGCAACCCCAGCGCUUCCCUGGGCAGCUUGUUUCUAUGAAUUAACGCUCUUUCUGAGAAGAAAUUUUUCCUAAUAUCCAACCUGAGUCUCCUCUGGCAAAACCCAAGGCCAUUACCUCUUGUCCUAUUGCAGUUACCUGGGAGAAGAGGCCAGCACUCACCUCACCACAACCUCCUUUCAACUACUUGUACAGGGCACCAAGGUCUCCCCAGUUCCCUCAGCUGAUCCCCAUGAGACAUGCUCCAGGCCCCUCAUGGUGUCAUUGCCCUUCUCUGUACAUGCUCCCAGGCCUCCAUGUCUUUCUUAUAGUGAGGGGUGCAAAACAACUAUAGUGCUUGAGGUGCAGCCUCACCUGUGCCAAGAGACAUGAUCAUCUCCUUGUUCUGCUGACUGCACUGUUUCUGAUACAAGCCAGGAUGGUGUUGUCCUUCUUGGGCAUGCUGCUGGCUCAUGCUUAGCCAGCUGUCAAUACCCCUUAGAGCCAUUCCGUCUGCAGUUUUCCAACCACUCUGCCCCAGGCCUGUAGUGAUGCAUGAGGUUGUUGCGACCAAAGUGCAGGAACUUGGUCUUGUUGAACCUUGUAAAGCUGGCCUCAGUCCAUCAAUUCAACUGAUCCAGAUUCCUCUGUGGAGCCCUUCCUACCCUCAGGUAGAUCAACACUUUCUCCCAAGUUGGUGCCAUCUGCAAAGUAACUGAGAGUGCACUCAAUCCCCUCACCCGAAUCACCAAUAAACAGGACAGGCCCCAGUACCAACCCCUGAUGAGUACCAUUAAUGAUCAGUUUCCAGCAGAAUUAAACUCCAUUCGCCACCACUCUCUGGGCCUGGCCGGCCAGCCAGCCAGAUCCUUACAUUCUGUCUUAUUCCUCUAUCCCAGCAUGCUAAUGCUGCUGGGACAGUAUUCAUACAACAAAUAACAGUCAAGGUGUCUGCUGCAAAACAGAUGGAAUAUGUGGCCUCUGAAUUCAGGCUGCUUCCAGGGCAACAUAAUAGCCAGAUCUUAGAAAGCUUUAGCCUUCACCUAUAGCUCAGCCCACUAUUAAAUGUUGUGAAUAUUCCCUUUGACUCUUUCAUGCUGCACUAAAUUGGCUGGCUGGAAAAGAACCCUGUGUUCCUACUCUUCGAAGCCUGGAAUUUAAUGGAGCAAAGGGCUCCAGGAGUUAUAGUCACAUACUUGCCUACUGUAAAUGGGCUUUAUAAGACUUCAUCAAGACUAACAUGUUGAUAGCUUUUGUAGUAUGGUUUCUAACAAAUAAGAUCUGCCAGUCAGAAAUAUGGGAGACAGUCUAUUUUCGUGUAAUUAGUUACAGGGCUGAUGUCUCAGUAUGACCUAUGAUGAUGUUACAGAGGAAGCAUCUUUUACAUUAGAUGCCACCAAAGGAGCGGACAAUUUGUAUUUCGUAGAAGACUACGUGGCUCUGGGCCGGUUUUAUUAACUGCAUUUUUCUGUAUCCAAGGUGCUUUUGUGGUUUAACUUGGAGAUGACUCUUGCUUCUCCACAAAGAUUGCUCAGGCUGCCAGCCUGAGUUGAGUUUAUAGAAAUCUGAAAGCUUCCUGAGUGAGAACCAGAACCAUUGCUCUGUCCUCUCCUGUUACAGAUCAAGAGAACGUUGAGCGUCUUUUUGCCAUAGCAUUUCUUGAUAACUAGAGAAUUUUAAUUGGAAAAGGGAACAAGGCCAGUGCCCUUCUUGGCCUGAAUAUGUUCAAAUCACCUGUUUGUGGGCAAGUAGCCAUACCACACAAUUAUGAGUGUGGAGCCUUAGGGAAAGAUGCCUUGUCCAAUUGAAUGUGAUGGGAUUUGCAUCCAUACAUCUCCAAGCACAAACGCCAUUUUUUCCGUGUCUGCUCAUAUGCCAUUGUCAAAGAAGGAUGCCACUCUGUAUUCUGGGUUUUUCUUUGUUUACCUUU
ensembl:lncRNA